UGGUAUUGAGGUUCCUGGCAAAGGCUUGAACCAAAGUUCUAUUUUAGAAGACAUGGAAAGCCUGUUUUAAAGGAAGCGCUGGAAUUAGCCAAUACGUGUGGCUAGCCUGAAUCUCACUAAGUUCUCUUGAUCUUAUUACAGGUCCAAGCAGUUGCAUUAAAUCAACAUGUGACAUUCUUCUUAAUAGGUCUUUUCAUCACUCGAUGGUCAUGGCAUACUCUACUGUCGGUGCCCCUGAUUUUAUUGCUUCAGAGGUUUUGCUGAAGACGAGUUGUGGAAUGGAAUGUGAUUGGUGGUCACUUGGUCAUCAUAUUUGUAGUGUAAGAGUUCCUGUCAUACCUUUUAGUAAAUUCGUCUCUCUUGCUUCAUAUUUGCAGUGUAGUCUUAGGCUCCAUUUGGUCAUCACAUCAAUCUUUAUGAAUAUAUUUUUUUCUCAAACCAAAUGGAGCGUAAGCCAUUUUUUAACUCUGCCAUUGCAACUUCUUGGAUUGCCGGUACCAAGCCCUGGUAAAGGAGGAGGGAGAAGGGCUUCAGGAGCUGGGAGGAAGCGUUUUUUCCAGCCUAGAGGGAGACCACAUCACAUUGGUUAAUGUAUAUCAGGCAUCUGUAGAGUGCUUGGAGACUAGCAAGACGGCUAACAGUAAAAAAAGACAAUUGGGAAAUGCUUGAGCAAAUGGCAAAUUAGCAACAUAACAAACGGGACCCCAUCAUUGGCAUUUAUUAGGAACAAGAAGAACUAAAGUACCUUGAAAGAAGAGUUUCUCAAUUUGAUGAGGAGUGAUCUCAUACAAGCACCUUUUGAUGGCCUACUGCCUGGAACAGUCCGCUUUGGCUGCCACAUCGUCUAAACUUCAUAUGAAUGAAAAGCCCCUUAGUUCUCCCAGAUGGAGAAUCAUUUAAUUAGAUGAGGGGCUUCUUUCUUUUUUUCUGAAUUGGUGAAUAAGGUGUAAGGAAGAGACCAUCUAGUCGUAAAAUUCAUUGCAGAGGAAUUGGGUCUGGAGGGCUCUUAUGUUCCCCGUACUUAUAUUGAACAGAUUCAGCUUGAGAAGCUUGUAAAUGAUGUUAUGGCACUACCAAAUGAUUUGAAGACAAAGCUCAGCAUCGACGAUGAUAUAGCAUCAAGUCUCAAAGACGCACUUUCCUGGGCCUCUGCAGGCAUGAUUGCCUUGAGAAAUAAGAAUCUUAAGAGACACCCAGGAAUCUUCUGCAAUGGUUGCACACAUGUUCCAAAAGAUCACUCAUGCCAUGCUUGCAUUCCCAAAAACUCUCUUGAUCCGGUCACUCGUCAGCAACUACUUAUGCCAAUAUUCCAUCAAGAAUCAUUGCUAAGUCUAAGGUUGUCAAUGGGCUGAGCUUGGGCUUGCAAAAUCAAAUUUUCAAAUAUCCUAG